CUCACCCGUAGCUCUCAAAUCCCAUAGCCAAACUUCCAUUGAUUUUCAACCAAAGCUCACUUUCUCUCUUCUUUUCACCAUAAACCCUAAACCCCUUUCAUUAAAAGUUGUCCACUCAUCUUAGGGAAGUGUUUGGCAGCCUAGAAAGUGAAGGAAAGUGAAGUUUUGAGUGGGGAAAAAUCUGCCCUAAUCAAGGUACUGGAGACCCCGAUCGUGAGCCCAGUAGACCACAGACUGGGUGAGGCCAUCCGACAGUUCUGCUCAGUGUCCGUGUCACCUCACUACCUGCAGUGCAUCGGUAGGGCACUAGAUGCCAUUUUGUCAUCUUGUAAUUAACUUUUUAUUUUCUCAUAUGUAUUUAGGAUUUAUGUAAUGUAUUUUGAGGUUCAUGUAAAUAAUAAAGAUUUAUGGUUAUGUAUGGUAUUAAUUUGAGUAUUUAAUGGUUGUUUAUAUAUGAGAACCCUGAGAAAGGGAUGUUUUGAAAACUGAAAAGGUUGUUGAGACCUGAAAUUGACAAAUUACCGAGAUAUUGAUAUUGAGUUUUAUUGAUGA